GACGAACGCUGGCGGCGUGCUUAACACAUGCAAGUCGAACGGAAAGGCCCUGCUUUUGUGGGGUGCUCGAGUGGCGAACGGGUGAGUAACACGUGAGUAACCUGCCCUUGACUUUGGGAUAACUUCAGGAAACUGGGGCUAAUACCGGAUAGGAGCUCCUGCUGCAUGGUGGGGGUUGGAAAGUUUCGGCGGUUGGGGAUGGACUCGCGGCUUAUCAGCUUGUUGGUGGGGUAGUGGCUUACCAAGGCUUUGACGGGUAGCCGGCCUGAGAGGGUGACCGGGCAAAUGGGGGAUGAAGAACGGCCCCAGCCCCCACCGGGGGGAGGCGGGGGGAAUUAUGGAAAAGGGGCGGGAGGCUGAAGGAAGACCCCCCGGGGGGGGAAGGAGGCCUUCGGGUUUGAAACCCCUUUUCCCCGGGGAGGAAGGGGGAGGGAGGGUAGGGGAUAAAGAAGACCCGGCAAACUACGGC
rnacentral:rRNA from 1 species